rnacentral:siRNA from 1 species
GGGAUUUAUUUACAGCGGCUGCCA